ensembl:lncRNA
CACCCCUGCGCAGCUAGGGGCUCAGAGGAGGGGCGGGGGCUCCCUCACUGGAUGCGGUGAGGGGCUUGACACACGGACAAAGCUGGUCAGUGACUGAUGGGGGAGAGUGAAGACUGGCUCCAUUUAUAAGGAGACACAAGGUCAUCUUGGGGGGAUCACUGAAGACUUUUGAAGCUAGGUUCCGUUUCUUCAUUUGUAGAGUGAACACUGAUUGACCCAAGUAACUGAGCUUUGGGUUCCUUUCGAGGUAUGAAGACCUGUAAUGCUAAAUAAUACAUGUACGCUGUGCAAGCUUUUGUGCACAGUAAAGAAGAAUGGGACACUAAUUAAUCUUCUCCUGGUCCAGAGUUUAGGGUCACAGUUGAUGCUACUAAGUUAGACACUGCGAAUAUAAGUGUCAUUAUAGGAACUACAUUAGUUAUAAACUGGAAAAUGGGAAUGUUUUGUGGAAAUUCAUCAUGCUAUUUACAGAGAGGCCCUCCACGUUCUGCAAAGUCUGAGAAGCAUCGUCACACUGGGGACUCCAGUGUCGGAGGGGUUGAUGCAGAGGUCACUCAGGAAUGUUCCGACUCUCUCUCCUCGUGAAGGUGGCUGUCAGUGUGAUGGACACUCAGGUGUGAAUCACUGUGCUCUCAGAGAAUACGAAUCUUGCAGGCUAAUAGCACACUUUCACGGUGCUCAAAGGACAGAUUUGUUCUUCCCACUCUGCCUGUGGGAGAAUUUCAAGUGGAAUUUCUUGGGGAAAUCCAGGCAGGCAGACCACAUAAAUUACGCUGCGGUAUAGAGUGUUCGUGUGUAUUAUUUGCGGUCAUAACUGAAACAGGAUGGGUUUAGCUCUGUACACACAGGUGGAAGCACUUAGAGGCAACCUGAGCCCCGUCACACAUGCACAGCCUGGAGGAGGGAUGAGAUGCUCACCGAGGGACAAAGGGCCUUGAGGUUUUACCCACAAAGCAAAGCCAGACGACCUCUGAGAGAGCUGGAAACCCUGCCCGGAGCUGAGUGAGCUGUUUACCACAUGCCCCCGCGUUGCAGAGAAACUUCUCUAAUGUGGGUUAUGUGAGGCAAAGUCUGGGAUGAACUCAGCAUAACGCGUAUUCGUGGCUGUAGAACCACUGUGUCACGGGGUGCUCAGGAGCUGAGUUCAAAAUUCUGUCCUCACAGAGGAGACUCUGCACCUUCUCCAGCUGGUGUGAGCUCAGCUGCCAGAGAGACACGCGCAUGGGAGCCGGAGACACACGUGUGGGAGCCGCUGGGCUCAGGGUCCCCUGCCCUCUUACAGGAGAUCCUCCCUCAGUGACAGAGGGAUUCUUGAAAACGCAGCUUGCCCUUGGAAUUCUUGGCCUAGUGUUCUGUUCUCAAGACCCAGC